rnacentral:rRNA from 1 species
UACCAGCACCCCGAGUGGUCGGGACGAUUAUUGGGCCUAAAGCAUCCGUAGCCGGUUCUACAAGUCUUCCUUUAAAUCCACCUGCUUAACAGAUGGGCUGCGGAGGAUACUAUGGAGCUAGGAGGCGGGAGAGGCAAGCGGUACUUAGUGGGUAGGGGUAAAAUCCGUUGAUCCAUUGAAGACCACCAGUGGCGAAGGCGGCUUGCCAGAACGCACUCGACGGUGAGGGAUGAAAGCUGGGGGAGCAAACCGG